AGAAAAUAACUUUCUCCAAGAGACUCGAGAAAGUCGACCAAGCAAAAUACGUUUUCUUGCUAAACCAUGUUUACGCAUAGUACAUGUACAAGCUGUUAGCAGCAGCGCAGGCAAUUGAGUUCUCGGUUGGGUGCCAAGCUAAAUGCAGUAACUUUGUUGUGAAAUCAAAGGAAUUUCCAUUUGCAUCAAUCCCAGGGCUAUCUGCUCCUCGUCUU
rnacentral:misc_RNA from 1 species